rnacentral:tRNA from 1 species
UCCGGGAUCGUCUAACGGUAGGACGGCGGACUCUGAAUCCGCUAAUCUUGGUUCGAAUCCAAGUCCCGGAG